rnacentral:rRNA from 1 species
GACGAACGCUGGCGGCGUGCUUAACACAUGCCAGUCGAACGCUGAAGACCUGGCUUUUGUUGGGUUGGAUGAGUGGCGAACGGGUGAGUAACACGUGAGUAACCUGCCCUCUUCUUUGGGAUAACGCCCGGAAACGGGUGCUAAUACUGGAUAUUCACUGAUCUUCGCAUGGGGGUUGGUGGAAAGGUUUGUUCUGGUGGGGGAUGGGCUCGCGGCCUAUCAGCUUGUUGGUGGGGUGAUGGCCUACCAAGGCUUUGACGGGUAGCCGGCCUGAGAGGGUGACCGGUCACAUUGGGACUGAGAUACGGCCCAGACUCCUACGGGAGGCAGCAGUGGGGAAUAUUGCACAAUGGGCGAAAGCCUGAUGCAGCGACGCCGCGUGAGGGAUGGAGGCCUUCGGGUUGGAAACCUCUUUCGCUCAUGGUCAAGCCGCAACUGUGGGUUGUGGUGAGGGUAGUGGGUAAAGAAGCGCCGGCUAACUACGUG